rnacentral:rRNA from 1 species
UAAAGAACCUACCUUAUAGACAGGGACAACUAUUGGAAACGAUAGCUAAUACCUGAUAAGAAAGAAACUCGCAUGAGAGAAGUUCGAAAGUCGGAGCAAUCUGACACUAUAAGAUGGCUUUGCGGUGCAUUAGCUAGUUGGUAGGGUAAAAGCCUACCAAGGCGACGAUGCAUAGCCGACCUGAGAGGGUGAUCGGCCACAUUGGGACUGAGACACGGCCCAGACUCCUACGGGAGGCAGCAGCG